rnacentral:rRNA from 1 species
GACGGAGGGUGCUAGCGUUGUUCGGAAUCACUGGGCGUAAAGGGCGCGUAGGCGGCUUGAUAAGUCGGGGGUGAAAGCCUGUGGCUCAACCACAGAAUUGCCUUCGAUACUGUCGAGCUUGAGACCGGAAGAGGUAAGUGGAACUGCGAGUGUAGAGGUGAAAUUCGUAGAUAUUCGCAAGAACACCAGUGGCGAAGGCGGCUCACUGGCCCAUAACUGACGCUGAGGCACGAAAGCGUGGGGAGCAAACAGG